UACGAAGGGGGGCUAGCGUUGCUCGGAAUUACUGGGCGUAAAGCGCACGUAGGCGGGUCGGUAAGUCGGGGGGUGAAAUCCUGGAGCUCAACUCCAGAACUGCCCCUCGAAACUGCUGAUCUUGAGUUCGGGAGAGGUGAGUGGAACUGCGAGUGUAGAGGUGAAAUUCGUAGAUAUUCGCAAGAACACCAGUGGCGAAGGCGGCUUACUGGUCCAUUACUGACGCUGAGGUGCGAAAGCGUGGGGAGCAAACAGG
rnacentral:rRNA from 1 species